rnacentral:rRNA from 1 species
AUGGCGAGCCUGAUGGACAAGGCCAAGGGGUUCGUCGCCGACAAGAUCGCGCACAUGCCCAAGCCGGAGGCGUCGCUGGACAAGGUGACCUUCAAGGGCAUGACCCGCGAGGCCAUCACCGUGCACAGCCACGUCAACGUCACCAACCCCUACUCCCACCGCAUCCCCAUCUGCGACAUCUCCUUCAACCUCAAGUGCGGCGGCAAGGAGGUGGCGAGCGGCACGAUCCCGGACCCGGGCUGGAUCGAGGACAGCGGCGAGGUCACCAAGCUGGAGGUGCCGGCCAAGGUGCCCUACGACUUCCUCAUCUCGCUCAUGAAGGACCUGGGGAGGGACUGGGACAUCGACUACGAGCUCCUCGUCAAGCUCACCAUCGACCUCCCCAUCAUCGGCAACUUCACCAUCCCGCUCGACACCGCCGGCGAGUUCAAGCUGCCCACCCUCAGCGACUUCUUCGGCGGCUCCGCCAAGACCGAGGAGGCCACCGCCUAG